AACGUGCGUAUAUGCAUAGAUAUUUUUGCAGGCGCAGCGAGGCUUCUUUUCCCCGUGAUAUCAUAGUUACGCGCGACGGAACAAAAGCUAGAGCGGCGGGGGCGGGGGACGCGCACGUACGCGCCACGUAUACACGCACGCACCGGUGAAGGUAGGAAAGUGAUACGGAUAUCUCUUCUUUUCCCCGACUCUGUGCUGCGCGCCGCGAGGGAGGCGCGCACGUUUCACCUGUGCCGAUGCACAGGAAGCCCGUAGACACUUCGUCGUCGUCGUCUCAGUCGCGUGUUUACAUUGACUGCGGCACGAUGACUGCCGCACUAAUGCAGCGGAAAAGAGUAGCGCCGUAAUUACACGGUUCGUUCGCCGGUACGGUGUUCUUUCGCUGCCGCUCGUGUUAAUCCGCGACAAUUCUCGCGUCUUUUUUGUGCCGCCGCGAGUAAUUGAAAGAGGAUCGAGGCUUUCGCGCGCUGCCGGUCUGUCGGCCGCGGAGUAAUUGAUCCUCGAUAAAUGUAAUUAGGAUCCGAUGACUCGCCCGGUCGACGAGACAUCUCUCUCUCUCUCUCUCUACGGCUGUGCGUCAAGAGGACAUCGUCCCCGGUGAAUCAGCGAGGAAAUUUCGCGGUGUGAAUCCCCGCGUGAAACUGGAGCGAUGAAUCGUUAUCGUCGUGGCAGAAAACCGCGCGCAACGCCGACGCCCUACGAAUCCCGUGAGGAAAAGUUGCGGUGAAUUCUAACGAUUUGCUCGUGAGAGUCAGCUGAGCGAGGUAGUCGUGAGUAGGCGAAAAUUCUUGGUACCCCAGCGAAAUGUACAAUGGAUCCGUGAGAUGUGUUCUGCCAUCGAACGUGCUGAUUUAGAAACCUCGUCGCGUUUGUAAACGCUACGAAUUAAUGCGAAGCUUGCACCGUUUCGAACAGCGGUGCGAGCGAGGCGUGCAGCAGUGAAACGUGUACAGUUCAAUCGGGGGAAUUAAUUCCGGAUACUAUCGACCGGAUCUUUCGGUCACGCUUUCACAUUUUUCGCGCUCGCGCUGCAGAUAAGCGGCGAAACCGCGCACGUCCUAGAAUGACCCCGCCGUGAAUGACAUGCCGUCCGCGAGACGAGCCCAGUGCACCGAGGACUGCAGGUGCGUGCUGUGCCGCGAGCUGAAGGGCUGCAAGAUGAGCGCCAACGUUCAGCAGCAGAUCGGCCACGAAGGCGCCAAUUUCAUCCUGCGCCGGGCCGUGUCCUUCCUGCCGAAGCCCCCGGCGCGAGAGGAUUGGCGAGAGGUCGCCAGGCGCGACGAUUACGAGAGAAGCUCGACCUUGGAGGACCGAAGCCGCCGCGGCGUAACCGACAGUCGCGAACCGAAACCGCGGACGCCGAGCAGCGACGCCGCGAAAACGGGGAAGGACACGAGUCACAAGACGGUCAUCUACUUCGGCGACUCGAACCCGAGGCAGAAAGAGGACAAAGCGAGGCAGCAGCAGCAGCAGCCGCCACCGCCGCUGCCGCCUUCGCCUCCGUCGCUGCCGCCGCUACCGGAAGCGUGCGUGCAGGUGACGUCAAGAUGCGACGAGGAUUCCGAGACGUCGUUGCGGCCGCGGGACGACGACGGGGUGGAGGUUCGUCCACGGGACGCAUCAGAGCGGGACAACGAGCGGGAAGAGGACGCCGGGCGACGCCGAGAUCCCGCGAUGGAGAACGGCGAUCCCAAGGCCGCGCACGAGAUCGUGGUGAACGUCAGUCCCAGCAGGGAGGACGUGCUGAGGAUAGAGGAGGACGAGAGCCAGCUGGAGGACUAUUGGUCCUUGCCGGGGGACACGAGCGGGUUCAAGGCGGAUUGGAGUUUCGUGCAGCAGUGGCGACUGAGGGGACCGGGCGGUGGUAAUAACCGUGAGAUAUAUUGCCCUUCUUACUCUAAGGAUUUCACCGAGAAUUCCCCUAAAACCGGGGUCCACGACAUGGUCCAUAUGAUACCAGAAAGGGACACGGAUAGCGUGGCACCGACACCGACCCCGCAGCACCCACGUCACUCCCAGCAUCAUCAUCUCAGUUUACACGAACUCCGUGCGCUUCAGAGGCGGCCGGAAUGCACCGGCAACAGCUCCUCCGAUGAGAAUCGCUCGUCCGGACACGCGAGCAUGUCGGAUACUGGCGGCCACACGAGCAGUAGUUCACCACCGCAUCGUCAUCACAGAGCUCACAGCCCUCAGCAAUUGAACGCCGUGCCCGAGGACGAUCGACUCUCGGCGUCGGUCACCCAGAGGAAUGGCAGGAGCCGAUCCGGCCAGAGCCGCAAUCGGCACCGAGCAACUCCCGCUAAGCUACAGGUACCAUGGUCGGGUUCUGGUUUGGAGGAUAUAAAGCUGGCGAUCCAGCAGCUGACGAUGCGCUCGCACAAGUCCUCGUCCACGUACUCCUCGUUGAGCGGCUCAGAGAGUUCGGAACCCGCAGUAAGGAGGCUGAUGCGACACUCCAGCCUGGAGACGAUUAACACCAAUGUGACCAGCGCCGAUGAGUUCGUCUGGGUAGAUUCUCACAAUCGUCUGGUGGAACUGCAGCAGCUACCGUGGACUCACCACGACGUGUUACGCGUACUUCAGAACGGUCGCACGAGAGAGCACAUGGACCAAGUCUCGAUGGAGACGAUUCCGCGGCUUUCCUAUCUCCUGCAACGCGCGCUUGUUAGAAUUGGCCGCGAGACUCAGAGAUUAGCAAAGCCCAUAGGUCUCUGCAGUAAGCACGAGGUGUACAGCGCCUUCAAGAUCGUACUCUGUCCAGCUCUGGCGGAUUCUUGCACCAAGGCUUGCCUUCGAGCUGCCGCGAUGUUCGCUGUAUCUGGCGAUCAGCUGAAACAAUCGAAGGCAUCCCGUUCGGGGCUACAAUUGCCAGUCGGACGUUUCUUGCGUUGGAUGUCCGACGUGAGACUCGGGCGGAUGAUUCACGAGUAUGCCGCGAUAUAUCUGACGGCCGGGAUCGAAAAUCUUCUGGAGGAGAUACUGCUACAGUGCGUGCCGACCGAACCGCAUACGACCCUCACGGCGACGAUGCUGGAACACGCUAUAGCCAACAGCGGCGACUUAUGGGGCCUGCUACAGCCGUACGCGCAUCUCAAUGCCGGUCGAACGGCAUCGGGUGCCCUUGCGAUGCCACGUUGGGCAAGUGUAAGUUCCUUGAACUCGUCGUCGUCGUCACGCAGCGGACGGGAAGUGGCUCAGUCAGCUUUAGAACCGUCGUUGCUUACGACUUGCGUGGGAUCGAUGUCGGAACUGAUAGAUUUGAUUUCCAAGGUAGCGCAAGUCGGACGCUGUCCCAUGCCUCUGACAACGAGGGCGUUACAUGCCCUAUUUUAUUACAUGAGAUGCUCGCAGUUGGAGCACGGCGAACGUGGUUCCGGAAUACAGGAAUUAGCAUACGAACGAGCUUACGUAGUGCUACCACCGUUAGUUGAAUGGCUACGGGUAGCUGCAGCGCAUACCGAACACAGACACGGUUUGGUUAUAGAUCAAGAUGACAUUAAUCAAGCUGCCCGACUAUUGCUGCCUGGUGUAGAUUGUCCCGUUCGACCAAUUAGCUCCGAGGAGAUUUCGGUGUGUUCAAAGCGCAUCGACGAUGCCGAAUAUGUUCGGUUGCUGACGCUGGACAUGGCCUUCAAGAUGUUGACUAGCGGACGGACGGAUCUCAUAGCCCAGGCAAUGCCGCUGCUGCCUUCAACGAAAAUCAACACGGUGAAUGACGCCGGAUUCACGGCUCUGAUGUUGGCGUGCAUCAACGGUGAUGAAUCAGCUGUGAUGGCUUUAUUGGAUGCCGGGGCAGACUUGAACAUCGAAAGCCCGCCACCCACGACGAGCUCAUCAUCGAACACGCCUUCCAAGAUCCCACAAACGUCCGGUAUAUCGAACGUUAGAAGCCCGAUCAGUCAGUCGGCGAUGGUGACGCCCAGUAAAACGAUGCCGAAUGCGAACGUAGCGUCUAAUAGUCCCAACGGUCCUGUCGGAGCUAUUCCUAGUGGCAUGUGUUACGUGCAGACCGCCUUCAAUGCGGAAACGCAACAUUGGACCGCUUUGACUUACACGGCUCUGCUGGGUCACUGCAAUAUCGCUAGAAUAUUGUUGGAGAGAGGUGCCGCGGUGGAAGGCGGCGCGAAACUCAGCGAGGAUAAGUGCACGGUCACGCCUCUGCAAGCAGCCACAGCGUCGGGAAACAACGAGAUGGUAGCUCUGCUCCUGGCACAUGGGGCGCAGCCGUUUCUGUCCACUCUGAUCAAGGACUCGUUCUCGUACUCGGGUUCCGUGCAACGUGGUUGUUACAGCGCAAUCUCGGUGGCUACGGCGCACGGCCAGAGAAGCUGUCUUCAUCAAUUGUUAUCGCACCCACUCAACUUCUCGGCUAAGCGAGGAGAAAAGGAGAUAUUAUCUUUGGAAGAGAUAUUAGCGGAAGGUAAUGCCGGCAAUAAUUCUCAACAGCAAACUGCUGAAGGAAGAGGCGCUCGCAGAGAAGGCAAGGAACCAGUGUUUAAUAAAAUUCAAACAAAGGCGCUACAAGAAGCGAUGUAUCACAGCGCGGAAAGCAAUCAUUUAGAUAUUACCAUGGAACUUCGUGGGCUAAAAGUGGGCUGGACAUUACAUUGUUGGAUGCACAGUCUCGCGACAGCUCACGAAAUGCGAUUGGACUCGGUAAUAGAUCAAUUACUUCAAGACUUUCUCCAAGUCUGCCCGGACGAUUAUUCCACGCAGUUCGUGCAGGAGUGUUUGCCACUUUUAUUCAAUAUUUUUAGAUAUAGCAAGAAGGAAGGCACGACGCUCUUGCUCGCUGAUAUAUUUUGCACAUGUUUCGGAUGGGAGCCGAUCAAGCCAAUUAGAGACACUACGCUUUCGAGCGGAUCAAGAAUCGAUCCCAAGUUUGUGAAUAAUCCAGAAUUGAGCGAUGUCCAAUUUAGAGUUGAAGGUCGUGUUUUCUAUGGGCACAAAAUUGUACUGGUUACAUCUUCUCCGAGAUUUAGGAAUAUGUUAAGUUCCAAGUUAUGUGAAGGCAAUCCUCCUAUUGUGCAAAUUAAUGACAUAAGAUAUCACAUAUUCCAGAUGGUCAUGGAAUUUCUGUAUCACGGCGGUUGCGCCACCUUGGAAGUUAAUCAAAGUGAUGUCCUGGAAUUAAUGGCAGCAGCCAAUUUCUUUCAACUCGAUGGUUUGCUCAGAUACUGUGAAGCACAGUGUUCCACGAUGGUGGAUCUUGAUAAUAUUGUUUCUAUGUAUAUUCACGCAAAGGUAUAUUUUGAUAACGACAUGUACUCUUGUAUUAAUUAUACAUUAGAUUGUCAUUUAAUAAACUGCAUCGUGUAUUUCAAUCUACAGGUAUAUAAUGCGGCACAGCUCUUAGAAUACUGUCAAGGAUUUUUAUUACAAAAUAUGGUAGCUCUCCUGACGUAUGAUGAUUCAGUGAAGCGUUUGCUGUUUGCGAAAAAGUUACCGAAUCACGACGUUCUCGCAGGCCUCUUGCUUACAUUGCAAUCACGAAUAAAAGCCAGGCGAUCUCAACAACAAAACAAAAUAAAAGCGUAAAUAUACGCAGACUCUUGCAUUACAAGACACGGAGUUGUAUAAAAGUUACGUAAACGUAAUAAGAACUUGAUAUGAAUUCUACUUUAGAAGAUACUGAGAUUUAAUCUUAUAUAUUGAGACUGUUAUUGAUAUAAAAGCAUGCUACAAAAUCCACGAGUUCUAUCGCUAUUUCAUCCAGAAAAUCUUACAAUCUCCAUUAGCCGUUACAAUCACGAUAGCUUCGAUGCUCACAGCAUUGUCCGAAAUGCAACCAACGAAAACCAUUGCUAUUGUGCCAACUAAGCAAAUAGGUAAGAUUUUCUGCGUUACUCAUCAACACACAAAUACUCCAUUGCUUUGCGUGAAGCGUAAAGAGAUGUUAUUU